rnacentral:lncRNA from 1 species
UCAUAUGCAGUAGAUUGAAACUGGACCCCUUCAUUACACCAUGUACAAAAAUCAACUUAAGAUGGAUCAAAGACUUAAAUGUAAAACUGCAAACUAUAAAAACCCUGGAAGAUAACCUAGGAAACACCAUUAUGGACAUAGGACCUGGCAAAGAUUUCAUGAUGAAGAUACCAAAGGCAAAUAGCAACAAAAGCAAAAAUUGAUAAAUGGGACCUAAAUUAAAGAGCUUCUGCACAGCAAAGGAAACUAUCGAAAGAGUAAACAGAUAACCUACAGAAUGGGAAAAAAUAUUUGCAAACUAGACAUCUAUAUUAGUCCGUUUUCAUGCAGCUGAUAAAGACAUAACUGAGACUGGGAAGAAAAGGAGGUUUAAUUGGACUUACAGUUCCACAUGGCUGGGGAGGCCUCAGAAUCAUGGCAGGAGAUGAAAGGCACAUCUUACAUGGUGGUGGCAAAGGAAAAUCAGGAAGAAGCAAAAGCAGAAGACUCUGAUAAACCCAUCAGAUCUUGUGAUACUUAUUCACUAUCAUAAGAAUAGCAUGGGAAAGACUGCCCCCCAUGAUUCAGUUAUGUCCCCCUGGAUGCCUCCCACAACACAUGGAAAUUCUGGGGAAAUAAUUCAAGUUGAGAUUUGUGUGGGGACACAGCCAAACCAUAUCAUUCCACCCCUGGCCCUUCCAAAUCUUAUGUCCUCACAUUUCAAAACCAAUCAUGCCUUCACAACAGUUUCCUAAAGUCUUAACUCAUUUCAGCACUAACCCAAAAGUCCACAGUCCAAAGUCUCAUCUGAGACAAGGCAAGUCCCUUCCACCUGUGAGCCUGUAAAGUCACAAGCAAGCUAGUUACUUCCUAGCUACAAUGAGGGUACAGGUAUUGGGUAAUGACAGCCAUUCCAAAUGGGAUAAAUUGGCUAAAACAAAGGGGCUAGAGAGCCCAUGCAAGUCCAAAAUCCAGUGGGGCAGUC